UGUUUAAAACGAAAUGUUGUAAUGUGUUUCGUCCAGUACAAGCCCUUGCGACUAAGAACUAAAGGGCGACUAUCAGUUGUUAUUUACAACGACUAAGAUAUAUGGUGCCCAUGGAAGACCACGGCGGAAUAAAAAAAAAGUUUACGUUCCCAAUUAGACGGAAAUAACAUGAUGGCGAACACACAGCAAAAGAAGAGACGGCAAAGGCAGAAGGGAACAAUAACAACAAAAGCACAAAAACUAAAAAAAAUCGCCGUAGUAAUAGAAUCGAGAUAAAUUUCGGGCACGAUGAUGAGCAUGAUGUCUCCCAAAGCCUGCACCAAGAAACCUCGUCGAAAUGCUGAUAAAAACUGAUAUCAGAUGACACUUUUUCAUCGGUGACAAAGCUUCCUGUAUAGGAAUGUCACUAACAGCAUCUUCGUUCCACGUCAUCUCUAACCAACAGCAUAAGGAGUGUAAUAGCUAUGCACCCUACCAGCACGAGGCAACAGUAUGGAAACACCGAACGAGAUUACCCACCCAAGAUUCUGGGAAGUACAGCCUAGUGUUUAUAGAUAUGAGAAGAUAUUAUCAUAAUUCUAAUUACAGAAACCAUGGCUUUCCGCUAUGGUUACGCUUUCAAAACCACACACAAAGAUAAAUAUUGGGAAUCAAUCACUUAUGAUUGACUUGCAACAAGUAAAAUCGGUCUUUGACUGGAAUAAAAUGUAAUUUUCCUGUAUCCCACUUUCCAGUAAUCUCUUUCUAUAUUUCCUUAAGACGGGACGGUGUGAAGUGAAUUAAUUGUCAACCUCUGAUACCUCUGAGGUGGAUUAAUUUCUUCUUUCACAAGGCUUCACAUACUAGAUGACAAGACUUUAAAGUGAAUCAUCUUUCACCCAAACAAGGCUCUAAGAAAUGGAUCAAUUUUCACCCAAACAAGGCUCCAAGAAAUGGAUCAAUUUUCACCCAAACAAGGCUCUAAGAAAUGGAUCAAUUUUCACCCAAGCAAGGCUCUAAGAAAUGGAUCAAUUUUCACCCUGACAAGACUUUGAAGUGAAUCAUCUUUCACUCAAACAAGGCUCUAAGAAAUGGAUCAAUAUUCACUCAAACAAGGCU
rnacentral:lncRNA from 1 species